rnacentral:rRNA from 1 species
UAGGGAAUCUUCGGCAAUGGGGGGAACCCUGACCGAGCAACGCCGCGUGAGUGAAGAAGGUUUUCGGAUCGUAAAGCUCUGUUGUUAAGGAGGAACGAGUGUGAGAAUGGAAAGUUCAUGCUGUGACGGUACUUAACCAGAAAGGGACGGCUAACUACGUGCCAGCAGCCGCGGUAAUACGUAGGUCCCGAGCGUUGUCCGGAUUUAUUGGGCGUAAAGCGAGCGCAGGCGGUUAGAAAAGUCUGAAGUGAAAGGCAGUGGCUCAACCAUUGUAGGCUUUGGAAACUGUUUAACUUGAGUGCAGAAGGGGAGAGUGGAAUUCCAUGUGUAGCGGUGAAAUGCGUAGAUAUAUGGAGGAACACCGGUGGCGAAAGCGGUUCUCUGGUCUGUAACUGACGCUGAGGCUCGAAAGCGUGGGGAGCGAACAGG